GAUGCCUUGGCACUAGAAGCCGAUGAAGGACGUUACUAACGACGAUAUGCUUUGGGGAGCUGUAAGUAAGCUUUGAUCCAGAGAUUUCCGAAUGGGGAAACCCAGCAUGAGUUAUGUCAUGUUAUCGAUAUGUGAAUACAUAGCAUAUCAGAAGGCACACCCGGAGAACUGAAACAUCUUAGUACCCGGAGGAAGAGAAAGAAAAUUCGAUUCCCUUAGUAGCGGCGAGCGAAACGGGAAGAGCCCAAACCAACAAGCUUGCUUGUUGGGGUUGUAGGACACUCUAUACGGAGUUACAAAGGACGACAUUAGACGAAUCAUCUGGAAAGAUGAAUCAAAGAAGGUAAUAAUCCUGUAGUCGAAAAUGUUGUCUCUCUUGAGUGGAUCCUGAGUACGACGGAGCACGUGAAAUUCCGUCGGAAUCUGGGAGGACCAUCUCCUAAGGCUAAAUACUCUCUAGUGACCGAUAGUGAACCAGUACCGUGAGGGAAAGGUGAAAAG
rnacentral:rRNA from 1 species